rnacentral:rRNA from 1 species
UACGUAGGGACCAAGCGUUGUUCGGAUUUACUGGGCGUAAAGGGCGCGUAGGCGGCAUGACAAAGUCACUUGUGAAAUCUCCGGGCUUAACUCGGAACGGUCAAGUGAUACUGUCGCGCUAGAGUGCGGAAGGGGCAAUCAGAAUUCUUGGUGUAGCGGUGAAAUGCGUAGAUAUCAAGAGGAAUACCUGAGGUGAAGACGGGUUGCUAGGCCGACACUGACGCUGAAGCGCGAAAGCCAGGGGAGCAAACAGG